AUGAACGCUAGCUACAGGCUUAACACAUGCAAGUCGUGGGGCAUCAUGGGAUUAGCUUGCUAAUCCUGAUGGCGACCGGCGCACGGGUGAGUAACGCGUAUCUAACUUCCCCUUAGUAGAGGAUAGCCCGGCGAAAGUCAGAUUAAUACUCUAUGUUAUCCGUUGCGGACAUCUAAUACGGAGCAAAGGCUUGCCGCUAAGGGAUGGGGAUGCGUCUGAUUAGGUUGAUGGCGGGGUAACGGCCCACCAUGCCGACGAUCAGUAGGGGUUCUGAGAGGAAGGUCCCCCACACUGGUACUGAGACACGGACCAGACUCCUACGGGAGGCAGCAGUGAGGAAUAUUGGUCAAUGGGCGUGAGCCUGAACCAGCCAAGUAGCGUGCCAGGAUGACGGCCCUACGGGUUGUAAACUGCUUUUAUGCGGGGAUAAAGUGAGCCACGUGUGGCUUAUUGCAGGUACCGCAUGAAUAAGGACCGGCUAAUUCCGUGCCAGCCGCCGC
rnacentral:rRNA from 1 species